rnacentral:rRNA from 1 species
UACGAAGGGGGCUAGCGUUGCUCGGAAUUACUGGGCGUAAAGGGUGCGUAGGCGGCGGGGCCAGUCUGAUGUGAAAUCCCGGGGCUCAACCCCGGAACUGCAUUGGAUACUGCCUUGCUAGAGUACUGGAGAGGGAACUGGAAUUUACGGUGUAGCAGUGAAAUGCGUAGAGAUCGUAAGGAAGGCCGGUGGCGAAGGCGAGUUCCUGGACAGCUACUGACGCUGAGGCACGAAGGCCAGGGGAGCAAACGGG